rnacentral:hammerhead_ribozyme from 1 species
AUCCAGCUGACGAGUCCUAAAUAAAACGAAAUGCGCUACCUGGAU